rnacentral:lncRNA from 1 species
GUGUUUAUUCUUUAAAAGAGAGCUCACGUAUAGAAAUUUAUUAAAAGCAUACUAUUUCGCACCCAUCUUAAUAAAGACAUUUCUUAAAAAGCAAACCAAGUCAGGUAAUAACGUUUUCCCCGACUAAUUGGCUAUCAAAUCUUGGAUGUCUAUGAUUAAAAGCAAACUGAAAAGGAAAAUAUAAAUAGAAAUAUUCUGACACCUGAUGAUUAGGGUCAUUAAAACGUAAAAAAGAAUAGUAAUGUGUUCCAGUCUUUAGCAAACAAUCCUUCUAAUCAUUUUU